UACGGGGGGGCAAGCGGUUGUUCGGAAUUACUGGGCGUAAAGGGCUCGUAGGCGGCCAACUAAGUCGGAUGUGAAAUCCCCAGGCUCAACUUGGGAACUGCAUCCGAUACUGGAUGGCUUGAAUUCGGGAGAGGGAUGCAGAAUUCCAGGUGUAGCGGUGAAAUGCGUAGAUAUCUGGAGGAAUACCGGUGGCGAAGGCGGCAUCCUGGACCGACAUUGACGCUGAGGAGCGAAAGCUAGGGGAGCAAACGGGG
rnacentral:rRNA from 1 species